GUGCUUAGGUUAGAAUUGAAAAUCACACCAGAAACUACAGAUUUCUCUCUCUUUCUCUCUCUAUAAUAUCCAGCGUAUUUUUGUGAGUAUUUUAGUACUUCGAGUAUUGCUAUACGGUGCAAGUUCUUUUAGCACUAUAUCCAGUAUUCCAGUCAGAAGUACUAUUCUUUCUGAGGUAAGGGAGGUUAUUUUCUUCUAAAAUGAUAUUAUUUCUUCAAUAUCAUUAUGCCAGAAUGUUGGUUGGAAAUUUUUAUCAAAUUUAGAACUUUUUCAUGUCGGG
rnacentral:lncRNA from 1 species